rnacentral:rRNA from 1 species
CAGAGGGUGCGAGCGUUGUCCGGAAUCACUGGGCGUAAAGGGCGCGUAGGUGGUUUGGUAAGUGUGUGGUGAAAGCCCGGGGCUCAACCCCGGGUCUGCCGCGCAAACUGCUGAACUUGAGCAUACUAGAGGCAGGUUGAAUUCCGGGUGUAGCGGUGGAAUGCGUAGAGAUCCGGAAGAACACCGGUGGCGAAGGCGGCCUGCUGGGGUAGAGCUGACACUGAGGCGCGACAGCGUGGGGAGCAAACAGGAUUAGAUACCCUGGUAGUCCACGCCGUAAACGAUGGGUACUAGGUGCUUGGGGGAGCGACCCCUUGAGUGCCGGCGCUAACGCAUGAAGUACCCCGCCUGGGGAGUACGACCGCAAGGUUG